CCUACGGGAGGCAGCAGUGGGGAAUCUUGCACAAUGGACGAAAGUCUGAUGCGGCGACGCCUCGUGAGUGAUGAAGGUCUUCGGAUCGUAAAGCUCUUUCGACUGGGAAGAUAAUGACGGUACCAGGAGAAGAAGCUGCGGCUAACUACGUGCCAGCAGCCGCGGUAAUACGUAGGCAGCAAGCGUUGUUCGGAAUUACUGGGCGUAAAGAGUGUGUAGGCGGUGUCGUAAGUUUGGCGUGAAAUCUCCCGGCUUAACUGGGAGGGUGCGCCGAAGACUGCGAUGCUUGAGGAUUGGAGAGGAAAGUGGAAUUUCUGGUGUAGCGGUGAAAUGCGUAGAUAUCAGAAGGAACACCUGUGGUGUAGACGGCUUUCUGGACAAUUCCUGACGCUGAGACACGAAAGCGUGGGUAGCAAACAGGAUUAGAUACCCUGGUAGUCCACGCCCUAAACGAUGCAUACUUGGUGUGAGCCAUUCACUUGGUUCGUGCCGGAGCUAACGCGUUAAGUAUGCCGCCUGGGGAGUACGGUCGCAAGGCUGAAACUCAAAUGAAUUGACGG
rnacentral:rRNA from 1 species